GAUGAACGCUGGCGGCGUGCCUAAUACAUGCAAGUCGAGCGAACAGACGAGGAGCUUGCUCCUCUGUCGUUAGCGGCGCACGGGUGAGUAACACGUGGAUAACCUACCUAUCAGACUGGUAUCACUUCGGGAAACGGGCGCUUAUCCCGUAUAAUAUAUUGAACCGCAUGGUUCAAUAGUAAAAUACGGUUUUGCUGUCACUAAUAGCUGGUUCCGCGCCGCAUUAGCUAGUUGGUAAGGUAACGGCUUAUCAAGGCAACUAUGCGUGGACGACCUGAGAGAGUGAUAGGCCACACUGGAAGUGGGACGCGGUCCUGACUCCUACGGGAGGCCGCAGUAGGGAAUCUUACGCAAUGGUCGAAAACCUGACGGAGCAACGCCACGUGAGUGAUGAAGGUCUUCGGAUCGUAAAACUCUGUUAUUAGGUAUGAACAAAUGUGUAAGUAACUGUGGACGUCUUGACGGUACCUAGUAAGAAAGCCACGGCUAACUACGUG
rnacentral:rRNA from 1 species